rnacentral:lncRNA from 1 species
GAGCAAAUAGGGGAGGCGGGGGUGGCAGAUGACAGGCUCUUUUUCUAACAGUCAGCUCUAGUGGGAACUAAUAGUGUGAGAACUCACUCACCCCCAACACCCAACCCGAGAGCAUUAAUCUGCUCUUGAGGGAUCCGUCCCCAGAAUCCAAACACCUCCCAUUAGGCCCCACCUCCAACAUUGGGAUCAAAUUUCAACAUGAGAUUUUUGGCAGGACAAACAUCUAAA